GUUAAAUGUAAACGCAUUCAUUAGUGAUGGAAAGCCCACACUGGCACUCAGCCUCAGGGAGCCAAACCUUCAGAAGGGGCCCCAGCAGAGGGCUCUCCCCUUGAUACGUUAUCAAAGAGGCAGGAAACAGCUACACUAAUAAAUGCCUUGCUAACAGAAUAAGAGGACUCAUUGAAAGUUGAGCCCUGAGCUCUCUCAGGAUUAUUCAAAUAUUCUGGGCAGAAAACUUCAUCAUUAUUGAGUGAUGAGUUUUCUCCAAGACUAAAACCCAGAAAGGAAAGCAAUCCAGAGUAGAACAAUAGAAUGGCUUGACCAGCCGGCAGAGCUCUGAUCAUGUAUGAGAGAGUCACAAUCCGCAUUGGUAUACCAAUAUGAAACAGCCAUCAAGAAGUCCUCGUAGAUGACUCCUUCCAUUGCUCCCGAUGUUUGGAAUGAGAAAUAAAGGCACUAUAUCAGCUGAGACCUGCAAGAUAAAUGUGGAGUUCUUAAUUGUUAGUAGCAUACAGCUCAAAACCUGACAACCAAACCUCUUCUACAAGUCUCAAAUAUACAGCUCUCUUUAGUGGAGGCAGAGAGGUUCAGUGGUAGCUUGAUCACUGUGUAAGUGUCUGGCAUUUCCUUCUAUUCAAGGAAAAUUGCAUGGUACAUAUUUACUCUUGAGAAUCCAUCAAGAGGCUUGUGUAAGCCAAGAGUGUAUGUUCAUGUCAAAUAUUUCACCCAUAAUUCUUAUUUUUUCAUUCCAAAGCUCACUUAAGAGUCGCAUAAAGUGGGUAUGUGUGGGUGUGUAGCCAAGAGGAAGGUUUUCCUAGCUGAGACCCACACAUCUGGAAUUCUCUCUCCAUAGUCAUCAUCUGGCCAAGUAAAUAUCCUGCGUGGGAUCCUUCAGAGAAAGACUCAAAGAUCUCUUCCUUUUCUCUUUGUCAUGGUUUCCCUAUAAUUGUUGCUUUGUGUGGUUUUGAUGUAAGGGAAAAAGGGGACAGCGUUUUGUCUCUGGAGGGCCUUUCAGGUGCCACUCUGAAGUCUGCUGAUGUAAUUGUUUUUGUACUACACAGUUUGAUUAGUUGUUGAUGAAGUUCUAACCCAUAGUCACUAAAGAAAGAGGAGUUGAACAAGAAAGGUUGCUGUAAACUAUUUGAAGGAAACUACAAUAAUCUGAACCGUCACUCAGUUCUGCAUGGGCAUCGCAGCAAUGGCUCUCACAUUCUGGCUCCCUGAAAAUGUCUGGAGAGCAUCAGCUGGUCUUGUGUUGUCCCCCACUUCUGCUGGCAUAGACCUGGAGUCCUGUGGCUGAAGUUUGUUCUUCUUCUGCAUGUUUGU